rnacentral:lncRNA from 7 species
GUCUCGACCAGGACUUGCAUCUAGCUAGAUGGUUUACGUCCACACCAUCGAUCAAUUGAGAUAGCUCAGCUUCCUUGCCUGCGAGGCAGCGGGAGGGAGACUGAGGAUGGCAGAGGGAUGCGCGCGCGACGCGACACGCGAGGCAGAGAAGUGCGUUCGAUGAGGAUGACACGGACAAAAGAAGGAGAAAAAAAAAAGGGUCAACACGGACAAAAGAAAGAAAAAAAAAGAUUGUACAUCACACGGCCUUCAUCACGGUUCCCGCGAUAACAUCACCGUUCGAGCAGUUUUUUUUUUAAAAAAAAACUUUGUUGGAUAGUUGGAUGGAUACAUGUAAGAGCAGUCCAUGAUUUUUGGCCAACAAAACUAGGAGAAAAGAUAAAUACGUAACGUACGAAACAUACCCCAGAUGUCUAAGAAGGCUACCCCUCUGCACCCCUGGUCCAGCAGCCGCUUAUCCGGCGACAGAAGGCAUCAACCUAACCCUCACUUUUUUUUCUUUCCUUUCUAUUGCUUCGAUCAGGGGCGUCGCUUUGUUUUCUCCUUGCAAUAAUUGUACAUGGCUAAAUAGGCGGUCCGGCCCGGCACGGUCCGGGCACGGCCAAGCACGGCACGGUUAGGGCACGGCUCGUUUGGCCCGUUUAAUAGUCGUGUCGUGCCACUAGUGCCUAAGACCAGGCCCAAGCACGGCACUAAGCCUGCUUAGCCGUGCCGGUCCGUUUAGCCUGUUUAGUCCAUUUAGCCCGUUUAGCACCACAGAAUUU